GAGAGAGAGAGAGAGAGAGAGAACACUCAAUUAAGAGAAUUUUAUACUUCUCUUCUUGGAAGAUAAAACUAAUUAAUUCUGCUAUUUGUCAUCAAGGAACCAAGAAACUGCAUGAAAAUACACCACCCAAUAUUUGGACUAAUGAUCAUUGCACUAUUAGAGAAAGCACGAUUCUACAAUAUAUAUGUAUAUAAAAAUCCCAAGAAAACAUAAAUAUAAGUGGAAACUCGAAAUGACAAAAGAACAACUAGCAAUAGCACAUCGGGGUGUUAAGCUAGCUUUCAAUAAGGGGCUUGAUGGUAAGAAAUGAAGGAGGAGAAGCUAAAGAAGGUCUCUCUAGAAAAGUAGCAAGGAAAUAAGAACUUGCUCAUCAACUAAAAUAUGUCAAGGUCACACCACAUACUUCAUUUGAAGUCCAGAAGCUAAAUAUGCUGAAACUGUAAAUAGACAAACAACUAUCCACUUGCUAAAUGCCCUAUUUAUGCGAUAUGGGAAGAUGAAGAUCUUAAUGUAAAAUAAGGAAAUUAGUAUUUCACUUAUUUAGGAAGUCUAUUAAUAUUAUUAUUAUAUUUAAGGAUUAUUUUAUUUAGGAAGUUUAAUUGGUUUAGUAUUCUUAAUUAGAUAUAAAUUAGGGCUUCCUAAUCCUAAUUUAAUUAGAGUUGUAAGAUCUAUAAAUAGAGCUAAUUUUUCUAUUAUUCAGUAGCUUUGGACUAUGAUUAAUCAAGAACAAUACAAUUUGAGAAUUAGUUCUUUUUCCCGAAGGAUUUGCUCCUUUUCUUUACCCUUGUUCCUUUUUUUCCACAUCACCUAUACUGAGCAUUUGUCAUCUCACCUUCAACCCACUUAGCAAGAACAGCCAAAAUGUGUACAACAUGCCCAGUAAAAUAAAGGUUCAGUAACAACAAAUAAUACUAUGAACUAAAAAUGUAGGACAAGAUGCCUUCUGUGUUCAGGCCAUGGAUCAUAAGAGUACAUCAUUCUAUCACCCACAUUUUUGUUUUUUAUCAAGAGAAGAAGAGAAUACUGAUAUUCAUGAAGGAAAGAUUAUAACCUAUCCUGCUGUAAAAGAGCAGCUAACUGCUGAGAGGGAUUAGAACUCCAACCCUGAAGCAGGGAGCCAACUCUAACAGUAAUGCCAACCAAUUAGCACAACUAUUAGCAUCUCUACGGACAUAACAAACUGAAAACAAAGGAUAGGAAUCCAACAUUACACGAAGGUCAUGCAUAACAGCUUGGAUCUCCCAUGGAAUGGGAAGGGACAUAUCUGACAGCAACUUAAUAAGAAGCUGAGAGUCUGACUCCAGAAUUACUGAUGAGUAGCCUCUUUUGAUAACAAAAAGGACAGCCUCUCUUAACGCUACACCUUCGAUACCCAAAGGGGAGAGAGCAGUAAACGUAGCAGCACAUCCAUCUAUCAUACUACCCUCUGCAUUGCGCACAAUAAUCCCAUACCCAGCCAUUGAAUUGUCACUCUUAAAAGAUGCAUUGACAUUAACUUUUACAGAACCCAGAUUAGAAGCAAUCCAUCUAACCUGCAAAGGAGCUGGGGAAGCAUUACUUGACAGCUGAGAAUGAUGUUGCGGAGUAGCCAAUGAUCGCACCUCUUCAACAGCAUUCUGGGCUUUACGGAUAGUCAAAACUGGAUUCGGUGGAGAAUAAUUAAAAAUAGCAGCAUUUCGCAUUUUCCAAAUGUUCCAACAAAUUAAACCAGCUAAGCAAAGAACAUAUCUAUCACUAGAAUUCAAUACUUCUUGCAAUCGUUGCCACCAAUCACCAAAAGUAGAAAAGCCAAUCUCAUUAGGAGAAAAACCCAAUCUAGAUCCAAACCAUGUUGCUUUCGCAUGAGAACAAAAAAACAAAAGAUACUCCAAAGUUUCCUCAUGAUAAUUACACAAAGGAUAAGCAGGGGAGGCCACACAUUUUCUUUUAAAUAAAUUGGCACUAGUGGCUAAUGAUUCACUACUAGCUCUCCAUAAAAAGGUGCAGACCUUACAAGGGAGAUCUAGAGACCAAAUGCUCUUCCAAAACUGCAGUAGGGGCCUCCUUGAUGUCACUGGAGAAAAAUUUGAGAAAGAUGAAACCUACCAUUUAUUCAACAUAAAAUACAGAGACUUUCCAGUAGGCUCCCCGUGAUUUGUAAAGUGCCAAAUUAUACCUAGCUUUGGGGCAGAGUUCCCCAACAGAAUCUUCAUAAUUUCCUCACAUUCCUCCAUUGUGAAAGAAUCUCUUAAUAUGCAUGGAUCCCAUUUCUUAGACUCCCCAUUGAUGAGGUCUGCCACAUAAAUUAUAGGACUAUCAUAGGGGUGCAAAUUAUUAAUUUUAAAAUUACGUAAAGUUGGAAUCCACGGAUCAUUCCAAGCAUUAAUAAAAGCAGGUCCCGUAAUGUUCCAUCUCAAACCAUUUUUCAGUGCGUCCUGCCCAUCCAACACAUUGUUCCAGCCCCAGGAGGGAUGAUAGCCUCUCUGAGCAUCAAGAAAAUCAGAAUAAGGAAAAUAAAUUCCUUUCAAUAUUUGCACCCGCAGAGCUUGGGAAUUCUUUAUAAUUCUCCAAGCCUGUUUUGCUAGGAGAACUAAAUUAAACAAGCUGAGAUCUUUGAAGCCCAUCCCUCCUUCACGCUUGUUCCAGGAAAGUUUAUUCCAACUUAACCCGUGAAUAGUCCCUCUAUCCAAUGAAUUGCGCCACCAAAAUUUUGCUACCAUCUGAUGCAAUUCCCCGAUCAAUCCAACUGGAAGCUUAAAAACUGACAUUACAAAGGAAGGAAUCGCUUGCACAACUGCUUUGAGAAGGACUUCUUUCCCAGCAAGAGAUAAAAAAAAUAAAAAAAA
rnacentral:misc_RNA from 1 species